ACAAUAAUAUAGACACUAAUCACUGGAACGAAGCGGAAGGAAUUCAGAUUAUCGAUGCAUUGAACGAAUACAUAUUUGGCAAAGUAAAUUUCCGACCGUGCAAAGUAAACGAUACAAAUCUAGAAUACAUGUGUAUAGAUAAUGUACUAAAAAGUAGAUAUGGACAAGAAAUGAUUAUAUUAAUAAUAUAUCACAGCGUGGCAAGAAGACUUGGUCUACGUUCCGACAUUGUGGCAUUCGGUGAACGAUUAGAACUAUCUUACUGUAUACAUUGGAAAUCCAGAUAUGGCACGAUUAAUCCAGCAAAUGAAAGAUGUUUUAGUGUAAUGUUUAACAAAUUCCCGGAU